CUGGGUUGGCGGCGGGGG
rnacentral:miRNA from 1 species